rnacentral:tRNA from 1 species
GGAGGGUUGGGUGAGAUGGAUUAAACCAGUCGGUUGCUAACUGACCGAACGUCGAAAGAUGUUCCAAGAGUUCGAAUCUCUUAUCCUCCGCCA